rnacentral:lncRNA from 1 species
UCUAUCUCAUCCGCAAUGAACGGUAGUUAGGUUCACUGUCAAAGGUUAAAUUCACCUCACCAUUUUUAACCGACCAAAAUACCAUUUAGGAUUAGUAAAAAAGUAAUAAAAUUAAAAAAUAAAUGACUGAGAAAAACAACACCAACGUUAAAGCUGUCUGCAAAAUCCGAAACUCUAAAAAUCAAAAAUCUAAACCCUAAACCUAAAACCUAAACUUUAAACCCGAAAUCCUAAACCCUAAACCCAAAACUCUAAAUCCUAAACUGUAGACUCAAAAUUCUAAACCAUAAACCCUAAACUCUAAACCCAAAAUCCUAAACCCUAAACCCAAAACUCUAACCCUAAAUCCUAAAUCCUAAACCCUAAACCCAAAACACAA